GGUAGCGUGGCCGAGUUGGUCUAAGGCGUUGGAUUUAAGAUACUUGAUUCCCAAUGGGCGCAAGUCCGCGCGAGUUCGAACCUCGCCGCUACCA
rfam:Paxillus involutus ATCC 200175 unplaced genomic scaffold PAXINscaffold_313, whole genome shotgun sequence.